rnacentral:rRNA from 1 species
CCAAGUCAGGCGGGAUCACCCGCUGAGUUUAA